GAGGCUUCCUGGAGGUGGUGUGGGCUGCAGAGGGCCUGUCCUCUAGUCCUCCCUUUGUGGGUGUUUUGCAGUGUGGAAAAGCCAAAUAUUUCUAAGAAGAAAGUAAAAAUGGAGGAAAUCAGCAACUGUGUGCUUUUCUGGGUGUUCAGGAUUGCUGCCAAAUGGACACAAAGACAACCAAAGCAGGAAUGUACCCCACACUCUGCAGUGGCCACUGCAGUGGUAAUUGAAUAAAAUCCACUGAGAGGAAAAGAAA